CCGCAAGUCGCAUGCUGAUGUGCCUUGCCCAUGUCAUCCAUCCCCCCGGCACCCCCAGCCCGCCCAGUCGAUGUGCUCGUUGAAGCCGAGCCGCGCUUCAGGACCCGAAUGCGCUGUCCCUCCGCCUCCACCCCGGCCACGGCAGGAGCACUUUCCUCAAACAGACAACGAGCCCCGGCCAAACGAAGAGGAAUACCAUCGGCUUCGCCGAGUGAGGAUAUCAUCACUUAUGCUGCUCGGAAGUGCUGCAUUAUCGGGCCUUUAAAAAAUAAAACCCAUGACCAAGGGAGAUAAGUCUGAAGUCCCUUCUCCCUGUGGACUCCUUGCCGCUGUCCAAGUCCAGACUUCUCGCCUUCCUUUGUCGCGUUACCUGCAUGGCCGAGAGCCUCUCUCCGACUGUCUACACAAUAAACGUGCUCGCUGUUUUUUUUUUCCCGGCGUCUUUGGCUGCUUUAAAUGUCCACAUGAUAAGCCACUGGAUUGGUCUUAUCAUUCGUGGCCAGGUCCCUUCUGAAAGAGAGCUGCAGUAUAUAGCUGGGUGGGCUAUAUUUGGUAAAAUAAAAUUUAGUUUUGUUUUAAAUAAAUUUAGUUUAUAUG